UCCCAAGUAGCUCAGAUAGUAAAGAAUCUGCUUGCAAUGCAGGAGACCCAGGUUUGAUCCCUGGGUCGGGAA
rfam:Ovis aries breed Texel chromosome 4, whole genome shotgun sequence.